rnacentral:tRNA from 1 species
GCCGACGUGGUGGAAUUGGUAGACACGCUAUCUUGAGGGGGUAGUGGCGAAAGCCGUGCGAGUUCGAUUCUCGCCGUCGGCACCA